CGGCCUUUGACCCCAAAGUCAGUUACCAGGUUUCAUUUGCAUAAUUGCUGCUCAGCAUUAACCCUUCGGUGGAUUAGGUUGCUGCUCGGCACAACUUUUCCUGUGUGGACAGUAAAUGUCAUUAACCACAUUUCUAUAAGUGGAUGAAUACGUGACAUACAAACACAGCCAGCAGUGUUUGGUUAUCGAGUGUAUGGAACUAAAAUCGGACACUCAAUGGUGCGAACACCGCUGAGACUUCCAAGCCCACUUAUAUUUUACACUUUUCAUACGAAGAUAACAGUGUUUGGACUAUACCCCGGAGGCGUUUCUGCUAUAUUCAUGGGAUCUGAGUUAUUUCGAUCCAGACCCAGCUCAGAUCCAGACUAUCCGGGGAUAUAGAACUUGCAUGGGUACCUCAUUGUUAAAUGUGUAUUUUGGGGUAUUUUUAUUAUGCAUGUCCUGGACCUGAGAGAUAAUGUAAUUAUGUGUGUGCGUAUGUUGCUGUCCCCUCUCAGGUCCAGUGGGGAAUACCCCUGGAAUAUGUCACUAGAAACCCCUUACAUGGGGACUUGCAUAAAAAGCCAGCUGUGGCUCCAUUAAAAUCAGUUCUACUUUACCCUCAACACAGAGCCUCGUCUCUUGUUUGUAGGGAACUGGCUAUACCUGCUUCUCUCACUACUUGGAUGACUACUGGAAAUACUGUAACACGACACACUUGAGGGAAGGAUGUCUCUGGUGGUGGAAACCCCUUUACUCACCGGGGUGACCGCUAUAAUAACUUAAUCUCAAUUCUCUGUCUCUACCUAGAGACAUUUAAUUUUGUAUAUACUGCAAUUAACUCUUUUGUAUUAAUAUUAGUAUUAAAGGAUCACUAUAAUGUCAGGAAAACAUAGUGUUAAAACCCCUUCAGCAGCUUACCUUAUUCCAUCGCUGGGCUCCCUCAGCGCUGGUGACCUCUCCUCCCCUGUCGCCGUCAGCUACCCCGUCUGACAUCAGCGGAGCCGAAUGCGCAUGCGCAGCAGUGCCGCGCGCAUUCAAAGUGGCCAUAGGAAAGCAUUUCUCAAUGCUUUCCUAUGGAUGCUCUGCGUAAUGGAGGCAUAGUAUGCUUCCAGCGUCGCAGAUGCACCUCUAGUGGCUGUCCGGAAGACAGCCACUAGAGGCUGUUUUAACCCUGCAAUGUAAACAUAGCAGUUUCUCUGAAGGGUUAAAACCUGAGGGACCUGGCACCGAGACCACUUCAUUGAGCUGGAGUGGUAUGAAAAUCUCUGAAAAUGGCUGAAAAUCUCUGAAAAUAAAUUAUUGUGCCAAAGUAAAAUUUCAAAACAAAAAUCAUGUUUGUACUUUAGGACUCAAAAAGCCACUUCAGCAGGAAUCUGUCAUGGAAAAGUAUUGAGGCAGGAUUCAAUUGGGUAUGGUAGAGGCAAUUAAUUGAGUGUGCUAAUAUAUCUAAGGUGUUUUUAGUUUAGUUUUUGUGAUGUUUUGUAUAAAUAAGCCAAUAAUUCCUGUAUAACUAAGUACUCACUUUAUUAAUACAUAUAUAACAGGAUCUUCAUAUUGCAGCCUUGUUACACAGGGUUUCUGCAGCCGCCAUUUCAAAUCCCUGGGAACAUUCCACCAACUGCCAACAGGAACAGGAAGUAAAGAACCAAAAGAAAGGAAGUGCAUCAUUCACAGCCAACAACAGCCCAACUGCCCAAUGCCCAUACAUCACAACACAUACUCAUACACUCACACACUCAUACACAGCCCAACUGCCCAUACAUCACAGUUUUUAGUUUGAGGAUAUCCAAUUGUUCAUGUAUAUAGAAUCCCUAUACAUGUUUUCAAAAAGUAUUAUAAGCAUAGCACAUAACCUACAGAAGUUAGUUUGGUAUAAACAUUGCUCUUAAGUCUAUAGUGGGAUUUAGCUAUUGCUCAAGCAUAAUUUUAUACAGUACUCUCUGUGAUAAAACAACUUGCACCCCGACUGGACACCUCCACCAACAGAUGCUUCCUAGCUGACAAUGAGGACCAUAAGCACCACACCGGACACCGCAAGCACCGCAGAUUCCAAAACCACCGUAGCUUAGCUGGGAUCUUGCCAUCUUCCUCCCAACCUGGACCAACCUCGGAUAUCCAGGACCAUGUGGGAAAGACCUCUCCUACUCCAGAGAGCGUAACAGGAACAGCUCUUACAAGAGCUAGUGAUUAGAACCCAGGGGGUAUAAGGAGUAUAGCAAUCCUCAGUGUGAAUAUAGCAGUUCCCCUCCAAUCAUGAGACAAGGCUACGUGUUGAGGGUUAAGCAGGAAUCUCAAUGUUAAUGGAGCCACAAUGGCCUUUUAUGCAAGUUUCCCAACAAGGGUGACACCCAAGCGGACCUUUUUGGGCACAGGGCCACAAGUUAACAAACCAAUAAAAACAGCAAUUAAAUGUACGACACUCCCAAAACAAGCAUACAAUACCUCCACUCUGCCUGUGAGAUAAUUGAGUCAGAUACUGUAUUAGCCCAAUUAUCUCCAGGCAGAAAAACACACAUUUUUACAAAGUCUUAUAAGUACCCCAACAUAUCCCCAUAAGUCACAUCCCCUGAUAGGCCUGAUCUGGGUGAACAACAUAUCCAAAAAUCACCCCGAUAAGAGCAGGGGUUCAGGAAAUUCCUGGAAGUCUCUUUUUUGACCAACUGCAGGCAUGGUCCCAUGCCCAAAAUAGUUCUAGAGAAUUGGGGUCUGCAGCCGGUCUAUUUUGGUAGUUUGCAAAUGAACACUCUACCAUACAAAGUCAAUAGUCUUACCCUGGAGCUCGUUCCCUUCAUCCAGACGAAUGAUCUCACCGAACAGUGCCCUUCUAAGCUGAAUAGAAACAAAUGCAGGCGAUGAUGGAAGUCCAGCGAUGUUCAGGAGUUUCUGUAUCCGAUUUCAGUUCCAUGAGAUUCAUGCCCAAACACCUUAUCAGCAAAAACAUAUGUCACCUAACCAUCUACCUGAUACAUCUGUCACAUAUCUACCUGAUGCUUACCUCCUCCUACAGCACUAACUGCAGUACAUCAAGCAACAAUAUAUGAU